AAUUGUUAUCUUAUUUGAACCUCUCUUCAGCCCUGGGAAUAGGGAGAUGCAAUUAUUAUUCCAUUUUUUUUGCAGAUGAAGAAACUGAGAAGACAGAUUAAGUGACUUGCCCAGAAUUACAUAGCUAAGAAGUGUUUGAGGACAGACUUGAUCUCAGAUUCAAAUUUAUCUAUCAUCCAUCCUCCUACACACAUCAGCUGAAAGAAAACAAUAAGAUGAAUUUCUCUAAUAUGGCUAAAGAACAAAGAUCCCAAAAGUAAACUCGACACACUGAAGAAAGGGCAAUUUCAGAACUCUACCACGAUCUCAGAUAACCUUAGGAAACUUCACAGAAGUACCAUAAAAGGGAAAAAAAGAAUGUCUAUCAAAAUUUCCAGAACUCUUUUGUACAUACCGUGUACAACCUUGAGCCUACUUCCUCCUGGACUCUGUGAGUAUUUAUGGGAAAAUAUGUGCUUUGGAUAGAGACACACAGGAUAUUUGUGUAUAUUUGUGCUAAUUAUUAAUACUAUGCUACUUUAGUAAACACCCAUAUCUAAAAGUAAAUUAAAUCUGGCUGAGUAAUUAUUAACUGAUAAUCAAUGGGAAAAGCAUAGUCAUUUGGAUACAAUAAUGAUAGAGCUAGAAAAUUAUUCCUCAGCUCCAAAGAGUAACCUAGAAUAAAGAAGAAUCAUUUCUACCCUCUAUAUAUCCAGCCUACCCAAGUGAGGGAGGGUUGAAAGACUCAUAUGAGAGACAUUUUAAAGAGUCAGUUUCACUUAUCAGUUCCAUAUUCUUUUCUGUUUCCAUUUCUCUAGUUCUAUAAUUUUUAAAUUUUCUCCUCUUAUGCUUAUUUUAGGUUUCUUUAUUUGUUGGUUUUCUAAUGAAAAGAUAGGUAUUGAUUUUUAUAAAUCUUUCUUUUUCUAUUUUGUGAAUAUAAGUUUUUAGAAAUAUAAUUUUUUCUCUGAGGACUCCAUUAAUCAUUUCUCAGAAAUUUUAAUAAUUGUCUUGUUACUCUCAUUGUUUUUCAUUUAGUUACUAAUUGUUUCUAUAAUUGGUUCAUUGACCCACUUAAGACGAUUUAAGGGCUUUAUUGUUAAGAUUCAUUUAUGUCUGUGUCUUUUGAUCGUAUCCCCUAUAGUAUUACUAUUUUAUAACAUUAUGGCCAAUAAAGAAUAUAUUUAGUAUUUCUUGUUUUUUGAGUUAUCUUUAGUUUUUCUUUGUUCUGAUAAAUGGUUUAUGUUUAACUUAUCAUGCUGAGAAAAAAAGUAUAUUUCUUAGUGGUCCCAUUCUAAAGGUAUCAAUCCUUCUAAAUCUAAAUUUUUCAAUAAUUUGUCCAAUUGUUGUUGUUUUAUGUUUUUGUUUAUCUGUCUGUUAGAUUUUUUUGUAUCAUUGAAAAGAAAACUGAAAUCUUCCAAUGUUAUUGGGCUUUUGUUCAUGGACUUUUGGAAUUCAAGAAAUAUGUAC
rnacentral:lncRNA from 1 species